GAUGAACGCUGGCGGCGUGCCUAACACAUGCAAGUCGAGCGAACAGACGCUGCUUUCGCGGCACUGGCGUUACCAGCGGGCGGGUGAGUAGCGCGUGGAUAACCCUCCUCUUCGAGUGAGAUAACGGCGAGUGAGUGGAGUUACUACUAGGUGAUAUAUUUAACCGGAUGGUUGGAAAGUGAUAUACGGGUUUGAUGUCCCUUCUGCCUGGCACCUUGCUGGAUUAGUAAGUUGGUAAGGUAACGGCUUCGCAAGGCAGCGAUGGGUAGCCGACCUGAGAGGGUGAUCGGCCACACUGGAGCUGGGCCGCGGUCCAGGCUCCGACGGGAGGCAGCAGUAGGGAAUCUUCGGCAAUGGGCGAAAGCCUGACGGAGCAGCGCCGCGUUGGUGAUGAAGGUCUUCGUAUCGUAAAACUCUGUUAUUGGUGAAGACCAAAUGCGUAAGUAACUAUGCACGUCUUGACGGUACCUAGUCAAAAAGCCACGGCUAACUACGUG
rnacentral:rRNA from 1 species